CGGAGUUGUUUUUUUUUUUUUCUUUCUUUCCCCUGCAAUUUUUUUUUUUUUUUAAACCAUCCAGAGGUAGUUCUCCAGAUCCGACCGCCUCUCCUCGCCUCGCUCACUGAUGGAGAGACCCAGCCUUGACGACCCUCCCUACCCUCCACCCUGCUGCCGGCUCGCGUUCUCCCUCUUCAUACGGCGGCUGCGGUAACUGGAAAAACACCGGGGCAGCGGGCUGGGGGCCGGCAGCUGCAGCUCCGCGGCUCCGGCAGCCCCUUCUCCCCCUUCCUUCCCCGUUUCCCUUCAUCCCCCCGCUGCUAAUUGCAGCCCGCUUCGACCGAGCGCAGCGCCCCGCCUCGCCGCCGCUCCGCGCCGCUGCGCGCCCUCUUCGCCGCUGCGCGACUUGGGUUCUCGCCUUCCUCGGCCGCUUCGUGCCCAUCACUACACGUAGUGCGCACUCCCGCUCUGUGCUUUUAAUGGCUACCCCUCCUAUACAUUUUUUUCCUUGCUCUUUUUCUCCCACCCCUUCGGCAAGUAAUGAGUUUGUUUGUUUGUUUUAA
rnacentral:lncRNA from 1 species